rfam:Gossypium raimondii Chr01_contig_296, whole genome shotgun sequence.
UUUUAAAAUUUUCAUCCCUUUGUACUGAUAAAAGCUGAUGAGACUGACGGAAUAAUCAAAUAAUGACAUAUGACAUGCCACAUGUAUCUCAUUAUGAAUACAACGACCAGUUUUUAAUAGUAAAAAUUGAUGAAUUUUUUAAUA